ACAAGUUAUUACAAGCUCUAAACCCAUUACUGGAUCCUAGGCAAAAGCAACUUGCUGCUCAGAUUCUUCAGGGGUACCCUGUUCUUUAUUACACAAGAUUUCGAACAUUGUUCAAAGCCAAGUUGGGAUUACUUGGAGAAAGGGAAGGUGAUGAUGAUUUAAUUGCAUUUCUCUUGCAUCUCAUGGAAAAGACAGAAGCUGAUUUUACAAUGACGUUUCGGCAGCUUAGCGAGAUCACUCAAAGCCAGUUACUGGAGCCCAGCAUUCCUCAGCAAUUCUGGGCACUGAAGACAGUUUCAAAGCACACACUCUUUCCUGCCUGGGUGUCCC